AGUGGCGGACGGGUGAGUAAUGCUUGGGAACUUGCCUUUGCGAGGGGGAUAACAGUUGGAAACGACUGCUAAUACCGCAUAAUGUCUUCGGACCAAACGGGGCUUAGGCUCCGGCGCAAAGAGAGGCCCAAGUGAGAUUAGCUAGAUGGUGAGGUAAAGGCUCACCAUGGCGACGAUCUCUAGCUGUUCUGAGAGGAAGAUCAGCCACACUGGGACUGAGACACGGCCCAGACUCCUACGGGAGGCUGCAGUGGGGAAUAUUGCACAAUGGGGGAAACCCUGAUGCAGCCAUGCCGCGUGUGUGAAGAAGGCCUUCGGGUUGUAAAGCACUUCCAGUUGUGAGGAAAAGUUGGUAGUUAAUACCUGCCAGCCGUGACGUUAGCAACAGACGAAGCACCGGCUAACUCCGUGCCAGCAGCCGCGGUAAUACGGAGGGUGCGAGCGUUAAUCGGAAUUACUGGGCGUAAAGCGCACGCAGGCGGUUUGUUAAGCUAGAUGUGAAAGCCCCGGGCUCAACCUGGGACGGUCAUUUAGAACUGGCAGACUAGAGUCUUGGAGAGGGGAGUGGAAUUCCAGGUGUAGCGGUGAAAUGCGUAGAUAUCUGGAGGAACAUCAGUGGCGAAGGCGACUCCCUGGCCAAAGACUGACGCUCAUGUGCGAAAGUGUGGGUAGCGAACAGGAUUAGAUACCCUGGUAGUCC
rnacentral:rRNA from 1 species